UCUGUUGUUUCUUGUUAUUCCUGUUACCAAAGUAUGUUCUAUGGACUUUACCAUAGGGUGUGUUUGCAAAGUAAUACCUGAAUGUGCCUUGCUCUAGUAACUUCUUUACUAUAGGAAAUGUAGCUUGUUGACUGCUAUUUGGAAUUUAUACCCUGAAUGGUGUGCUCUGCAUGCAAAAGUAGCAACUUGUUUAAAUGAUAGAUGAGGCAAUUGAGGGUAUUUGAUGUGCUGAAAUUCUCUAAGCUUUGUAAGGUUUUCAUGCUGUAUUCUAGUGAACCAGUUCUUCACAAUUUAAUAGCUCUUAAAUUUCAACAUUGGUCAGUUAGUUAAUUUUGUCUUUCAUAUUAAGGCCAUAAAAAGGAUUAAUAUAGAUGACAUUUGUUGUUCUUAGGAACCAAUGUGGGGUUUUAUGCAUUCUUAUGAACUAAUGUUUCCAGUGUCAAAUUUCUUAUAAUUGAAAAGCAGCCAAUCCACUCAUUCUAUAAAUUUGUGAUAGUGGUAGAGAAGAAUGUUUAACAAAACCUACAUGAGAUCCAUAUUCCGCAUGAAGCAUAUUAUAGUGCUGAUUUCCUGGCCGAGUUAGAAGUAGUCUGGAUGCUGAAAUGGUUUGGAGCAUCCCGCCUCCAUUUUGUCUUUCUUUUG
rnacentral:lncRNA from 1 species